ensembl:lncRNA
CUCAGAGCGCGGUCGCACCACCGAGCGCACGGAGACGUCAAGUAGUCCCUGAGAGCGACCUGAUUCAGAGAAUUCCAGCUGCCAGAGGCUGUCGGGAGUUGGAACUCCGAAAAGACUGGGAACAGCUCUCUGGCCUGGGGAGCUCUGGGAAAGAGGCUCCAGAAAGUUGCUUCGUUCUCUCCGUAAAUAAGCAAUGCAGCUAGCAUGAGUGCAGAUCAACAUCCUCACAAUGAACAGGUACAGCAAGCAAGUUCUUCUAAUGCCUGGUCCUCAGGGAAGCCUACAGAGAGAGGCAAUUCGGGAAAUCCUGGUUUAGAGCAGAGCUGCUUCUUAGUAGCUCCCUAUGGAAGAGGGAUUCUUGCAAAUGACAUGACAUCACAGGCGCACAACUUGGGCCAGAGUGAGGACUGCUGCUUCUCCCUCUUGUAGUACUCUGAUCUGGGAGGUCCAUGGACUACAGUAUUAGCAAGACUGGAAGAACAACAACACACUCAUACCAGAGCCAAUUGGAACCAACCUACUCGUUUCCACCCCCAGCCCCUCUGUAGCUUCAUUUCAAUGUUGUUAAAUUUCAGGGCAGAAAGUGAUAAUUUGGAAAAGUGCCAAAACUGAC